CCGAAAUAUUGGCGCGGAUGGAUUCAAAGAACUAACUACAGCAAUGGCGGAACAGCUGUUCAUAUCUCUUAUUCCUGGGAACUAUCUGUAAUAUCUGCGAUUAUUCCGGGAACGUCACGCACAAACCUUCGGGACAAUUACUUGUUACGUAACGUCGCUACAGCGAUACCAAUUGUAUAUUUGUCAGCCAUUAUUAAAUUACUAUCUGAACCAUCAAGUCUUGCUCCGAUCUUUCAAUGGCGACGAGGAUUAAAAACAAAGAAAAAAGCAGUGUUUAGCAGCGUAAAUAAAGAGAAAAUUUACCGGAACACAGAAUUGAAAGAAGAUAGUGCUAAAACAAGG
rnacentral:lncRNA from 1 species